AUUGUUAGUGGCAGACGGGUGAGUAAUGCGUAGGAAUCUGCCUAGUAGUAUGGAAUAGCCAUUAGAAAUGAUGGGUAAUACUGUAUAAUCCCUGCGGGGGAAAGAUUUAUCGCUAUUAGAUGAGCCUACGUUAGAUUAGCUAGUUGGUAAGGUAAUGGCUUACCAAGGCUAUGAUCUAUAGCUGGUCUGAGAGGACGAUCAGCCACACUGGAACUGAGAUACGGUCCAGACUCCUACGGGAGGCAGCAGUGGGGAAUAUUGGACAAUGGGCUAAAGCCUGAUCCAGCUAUGCCGCGUGAGUGAAGAAGGCCUUAGGGUUGUAAAACUCUUUCAAUAGGGAAGAUAAUGACGGUACCUAUA
rnacentral:rRNA from 1 species